AGUUUCGGCGAUAUCGCUGCUAGAGUUGGGAUCCCGGACCUCCUACCACAAUCCGCCGUCUCACUCACACAUCAAACAAGAACUGAACUGAACGGCCACCGAUAGCAGUUUCCAUUUCGUUUCUGCAAAAUUUCCCAAGAAUUCUUUGAUGGCUUUGAGCCGCGAGCAGUAUCUUUACCUGGCCAAGGUAGCCGAACAAGCCGAGCGCUACGAGGAAAUGGUCCAGUUCAUGGACAGCCUCGUGGCCGGCUCAGCCGCCGGCGCCGAGCUUUCCGUCGAGGAGCGGAACCUCCUCUCCGUUGCUUACAAGAACGUAAUCGGCUCGCUUCGAGCGGCGUGGCGCAUCGUAUCCUCGAUCGAGCAGAGGGAAGAGAGCCGCAGGAACCACGGCCACGUGUCCCUCGUCAAGGGCUACAGAUCCAAAAUCGAGGCCGAGCUCUCGCAAAUCUGCGCCCAAAUUCUCAAACUCCUCGCCGAUCAUUUGAUUCCUUUGGCGUCGUCGAGUGAGUCGAAAGUGUUCUACAUGAAGAUGAAAGGCGAUUAUCAUAGGUAUAUGGCGGAGUUUAAGGUCGGAGAUGAACGUAAGGUGGCUGCUGAAGAGACGAAGUUGGCUUACAAUGCUGCUCAGGACAUUGCACAAGCUGAUCUUGCACCAACACAUCCUAUACGGUUGGGAUUGGCAUUAAAUUACUCAGUUUUCUACUAUGAAAUCUUAAAUGCAACAGAGAAAGCUUGCAGCUUGGCCAAACAGGCAUUUGAAGAAGCUGUUGCAGAGUUGGAUUCAUUGGGUGAAGAAUCAUACAAGGACAGCACUCUGAUCAUGCAGCUUCUGAGGGACAAUCUCACUCUUUGGACCUCUGAUUUGCAGGACCAAAUGGACGAGGCUUGAGGCGACAAUAGCUUUAUCUGCUCCUUGUAGAGGUGGGCUUCAUCAGUUCGUUGCCAUAAUAUGUGUGUGCGUGUGUUUUUCCCCCUAUGAUUCACUGAAAUACAUGCUGACUGGUGUUGGGCUUCUAGUUUGUUUUGCACUGUUGUGAUGCAUAGAAGCUUAUAUAGGUUCUAUGUUUUCACAUUAUUUAGCUUCUUUGUAAAUCUCAGGAAGAAUGAUAAUGCUCUCGCAAAUAGGGUCAAACGACUGAAUACUAUUGUUUGUAUGCUUCUUGAAGAUUUCUCAGUACAGCUGAAUAUGUGAUAUGUUUGUCAACUUCCUCAAAUUGGGUUUGAUUGUUCAAGUUUAUGAUAUCUUGGAGGGUGAAUAUGCAUUUAGGUUGAAAAACUAUCGAAUUUUACUUUUCUUUGAUGAAGACUGAGAGAUCACUUCAGUUGAUAUAUUUAUAUCACUACAAUGUUCUAUAAUGUAUA